rnacentral:rRNA from 1 species
CCGGCACGGGCGAGUAACACGUAUGCAAUCCACCUGUAACAGGGGGAUAACCCGGAGAAAUCCGGACUAAUACCCCAUAAUAUGGGCGCUCCGCAUGGAGAGCCCAUUAAAGAGAGCAAUUUUGGUUACAGACGAGCAUGCGCUCCAUUAGCCAGUUGGCGGGGUAACGGCCCACCAAAGCGACGAUGGAUAGGGGUUCUGAGAGGAAGGUCCCCCACAUUGGAACUGAGACACGGUCCAA